GACGAACCGAGCGAACGUUGUUCGGAAUCACUGGGCUUAAAGGGCGCGUAGGCGGGUGCUCAAGUCUGUGGUGAAAUCCUCCAGCUUAACUGGAGAACUGCCAUGGAUACUGGGUGUCUCGAGGAAUGUAGGGGUAUGCGGAACGAUUGGUGGAGCGGUGAAAUGCGUUGAUAUCAAUCGGAACUCCGGUGGCGAAGGCGGCAUACUGGACAUUUUCUGACGCUGAGGCGCGAAAGCCAGGGGAGCAAACGGG
rnacentral:rRNA from 1 species